rnacentral:rRNA from 1 species
GCGGCGGACGGGUGAGUAACACGUGGGUAACCUACCUAUAAGACUGGGAUAACUUCGGGAAACCGGAGCUAAUACCGGAUAAUAUUUAGCUUCGCAUGAAGCAAUAGUGAAAGACGGUUCUGCUGUCACUUAUAGAUGGACCCGCGGUGUAUUAGCUAGUUGGUGAGGUAACGGCUCACCAAGGCAACGAUACAUAGCCGACCUGAGAGGGUGAUCGGCCACACUGGGACUGAGACACGGCCCAGACUCCUACGGGAGGCAGCAGUAGGGAAUCUUCCGCAAUGGACGAAAGUCUGACGGAGCAACGCCGCGUGAGUGAAGAAGGUUUUCGGAUCGUAAAACUCUGUUGUAAGGGAAGAACAAGUACGUUAGUAACUGAACGUACCUUGACGGUACCUUACCAGAAAGCCGCGGCGAACUACGUGCCAUCAGCCGCGGUAAUACGUAGGUGGCAAGCGU